rnacentral:rRNA from 1 species
GACGAACGCUGGCGGCGUGCUUAACACAUGCAAGUCGAACGGUAAGGCCCUUCGGGGUACACGAGUGGCGAACGGGUGAGUAACACGUGGGUGAUCUGCCCUGCACUUCGGGAUAAGCCUGGGAGGCUGGGUCUAAUACCGGAUAGGACCACUGCCUGCAUGGGUGGUGGUGGAAAGCUUUUGCGGUGUGGGAUGGGCCCGCGGCCUAUCGGCUUGUUGGUGGGGUGAUGGCCUACCAAGGCGACGACGGGUAGCCGGCCUGAGAGGGUGACCGGCCACACUGGGACUGAGAUACGGCCCAGACUCCUACGGGAGGCAGCAGUGGGGAAUAUUGCACAAUGGGCGCAAGCCUGAUGCAGCGACGCCGCGUGAGGGAUGACGGCCUUCGGGUUGUAAACCUCUUUCAGCACCGACGAAGCGCAAGUGACGGUAGGUGCAGAAGAAGGACCGGCCAACUACGUGCCAGCCGCCGCUGUAA